CUGUAAUUGGAAUGAGUACACUUUAAAUCCUUUAACAAGGACCUAUUGGAGGGCAAGUCUGGUGCCAGCAGCCGCGGUAACUCCAGCUCCAAUAGCGUAUAUUAAAGUUGUUGCGGUUAAAACGUUCGUAGUUGAACUUGUGCUUCAUACGGGUAGUACAACUAUAAUUGUAGUUUGUACUGUACCUUAUGUAUGUAAGCGUAUUACCGGUGGAGUUCUUACAUGUAAAUACUUUAUUUUCCUCCUAUUUAAACCUGCUUCAGUGCUCUUCAUCGAGUGUUGUUGUGGGCCGGUACAAUUACUUUGAACAAAUUAGAGUGCUUAAAGCAGGCUCCAAAUGCCUGAAUAUUUUGUGCAUGGAAUAAUGAAAUAAGACCUCUGUUCUACUUUCAUUGGUUUUUAGAUCAAGAGGUAAUGAUUAAUAGAAGCAGUUUGGGGGCAUUAGUAUUACGACGCGAGAGGUGAAAUUCUUGGACCGUCGUAAGACUAACUUAAGCGAAAGCAUUUGCCAAAGAUGUUUUCAUUAAUCAAGAACGAAAGUUAGAGGUUCGAAGGCGAUCAGAUACCGCCCUAGUUCUAACCAUAAACGAUGCCAGCUAGCAAUUGGGUGUAGCUACUCUCAUGGCUCUCUCAGUCGCUUCCCGGGAAACCAAAGCUUUUGGGCUCCGGGGGAAGUAUGGUUGCAAAGCUGAAACUUAAAGGAAUUGACGGAAGGGCACCACCAGGAGUGGA
rnacentral:rRNA from 1 species